AGUGAACGCUGGCGGUAGGCCUAACACAUGCAAGUCGAACGGCAGCACAGUAAGAGCUUGCUCUUACGGGUGGCGAGUGGCGGACGGGUGAGGAAUACAUCGGAAUCUACUUUUUCGUGGGGGAUAACGUAGGGAAACUUACGCUAAUACCGCAUACGACCUACGGGUGAAAGCAGGGGAUCUUCGGACCUUGCGCGAUUGAAUGAGCCGAUGUCGGAUUAGCUAGUUGGCGGGGUAAAGGCCCACCAAGGCGACGAUCCGUAGCUGGUCUGAGAGGAUGAUCAGCCACACUGGAACUGAGACACGGUCCAGACUCCUAAGGGAGGCAGCAGUGGGGAAUAGUGGACAAUGGGCGCAAGCCUGAUCCAGCCAGACCGCGUGGGUGAAGAAGGCCUUCGGGUUGUAAAGCCCUUUUGUUGGGAAAGAAAAGCAGCAGGUUAAUACCCCGCUGUUCUGACGGUACCCAAAGAAUAAGCACCGGCUAACUUCGUG
rnacentral:rRNA from 1 species